AUACGAAGGGUGCAAGCGUUAAUCGGAAUUACGUGGGCGUAAAGCGCGCGUAGGUGGUUCAGCAAGUUGGAUGUGAAAGCCCCGGGCUCAACCUGGGAACUGCAUCCAAAACUACUGAGCUAGAGUACGGUAGAGGGUGGUGGAAUUUCCUGUGUAGCGGUGAAAUGCGUAGAUAUAGGAAGGAACACCAGUGGCGAAGGCGACCACCUGGACUGAUACUGACACUGAGGUGCGAAAGCGUGGGGAGC
rnacentral:rRNA from 1 species